rnacentral:rRNA from 1 species
UACGGGGGGGGCAAGCGUUGUUCGGAAUUACUGGGCGUAAAGGGCUCGUAGGCGGCCAACUAAGUCAGACGUGAAAUCCCCAGGCUCAACCUGGGAACUGCGUCUGAUACUGGAUGGCUUGAAUCCGGGAGAGGGAUGCAGAAUUCCAGGUGUAGCGGUGAAAUGCGUAGAUAUCUGGAGGAACACCGGUGGCGAAGGCGGCAUCCGGGACCAACACUGACGCUGAGGAGCGAAAGCCAGGGGAGCAAACGGG